GGAUUCUGUUCCUGUUUUCCUGAAAACCGAAACAAUGGUUGCCUUUCUGGAAGCCCAGCGGAAGUUGAUGGACAGCAUCUACCAUGAUGGAGCCCACUGUCUGCAUGAGCACACAUUCCUACUGAAAAUUUUAAGAGGAAAUUUAGAAAUGAUGUCAUCUGGAUUCCUUUUAAUGGCCCUCAGACCUAAACAAGAACAUUAAAUUGGUAACCAGAAGAACUAUAGACAUCAUGUCUGCAAUAUUUAAAUUUACUACAGAAAUUCCUUCAAAACACGGGGACAGAGAUUCAUCUCUGGGAUGAGAUUUUCCAUCUGAAAGCGUGAUGGAAGGAGUUAG